CCUACGGGGGGCAGCAGUGAGGAAUAUUGGUCAAUGGCCGAGAGGCUGAACCAGCCAAGUCGCGUGAGGGCAGACGGCCCUACGGGUUGUAAACCUCUUUUGUCGGGGAGCAAAGCGAACCACGUGUGGUUCAUUGAGAGUACCCGAAGAAAAAGCAUCGGCUAACUCCGUGCCAGCAGCGGCGGUAAUACGGAGGAUGCGAGCGUUAUCCGGAUUUAUUGGGUUUAAAGGGUGCGCAGGCGGAGGUGCAAGUCAGCGGUCAAAUUGCGGGGAUCAACCCCGUACUGCCGUUGAAACUGCAUCCCUUGACUGCGCGAGAAGUAUGCGGAAUGCGUGGUGUAGCGGUGAAAUGCAUAGAUAUCACGCAGAACUCCGAUUGCGAAAGAAGCAUACCGGCGCGCAACUGACGCUCAUGCACGAAAGCGUGGGUAUCGAACAGGAUUAGAUACCCCAGUAGUC
rnacentral:rRNA from 1 species